rnacentral:rRNA from 1 species
AUUGAACGCUGGCGGCAGGCCUAACACAUGCAAGUCGAACGGUAGCACAGAGAGCUUGCUCUCGGGUGACGAGUGGCGGACGGGUGAGUAAUGUCUGGGAAACUGCCCGAUGGAGGGGGACAACUACUGGAAACGGUAGCUAAUACCGCAUAACGUCGCAAGACCAAAGUGGGGGACCUUCGGGCCUCACACCAUCGGAUGUGCCCAGAUGGGAUUAGCUAGUAGGUGGGGUAAUGGCUCACCUAGGCGACGAUCCCUAGCUGGUCUGAGAGGAUGACCAGCCACACUGGAACUGAGACACGGUCCAGACGCCUACGGGAGGCAGCAGUGGGGAAUAUUGCACAAUGGGCGCAAGCCUGAUGCAGCCAUGCCGCGUGUAUGAAGAAGGCCUUCGGGUUGUAAAGUACUUUCAGCGGGGAGGAAGGCGGUGAAGUUAAUAACUUCACCGAUUGACGUUACCCGCAGAAGAAGCACCGGCUAACUCCGUGCCAGCAGCCGCGGUAA